UAAAUCAAAAUGAAAGUUUGAAACUCAUGUAAUUAUUCUCUUUUGUUUAAUCCAAGAAAAAACAAAAUAUCUAUUAUGAAAUCUCAUUCAAUUAUAUAUAAAGUUCAAAGUAGGUUAAAGGUAAAAAACUGGUACACCAAAACAAAAGAGGUGGUUGUCAAGCUGUAUGACGUAGGAAACUCUCAAGUACGGUUCUUAAGGAGGGAAUUGACCCGCCUAUUCUGACCGUGGAGAACAGGCCAUU
rnacentral:lncRNA from 1 species